CACAUCGCCUUUGUAACGACCCGGAAAAACACAUGGAUACGUCAAAAAGCCCCCAUCCGUCGACGGACGCAUAGGUUGCUCAUUGCGUUGCGUGAACGUGGACCAUAAUCAGCCCUUAUCUACCGCACUGGCGGACCCACCUCCACAUUUCCACCUGCGUACCGGAGGCCAAAUCACCCCUACUCCUCUGUAGUCGCGGUGACAGGGGAAGUGCUUUGAUGUUUGCCUCAUAGAGAACCCACGGCCUGGGGAAGUCACACAGGAACAUCACAAUGGAGGACAAGCUCUCUCUCCCCACACACUGUAAAGAGAAAGGCCUCCUUGACACAGGUCGCGGGAAAAACUAAAAAGUCCCAUUUCUGACUAGGUAAAAUAAGGUCCUAACACGAACUAUUAGCAGGGGUCAGAAUGCUAUGGAUCGUGAGCCAUACAUGGAUCUUGCAUUGAUUACAUAUGGCCGAUCAAAAUCACUCAAAAUGUGUGUGUGUGUGUGUGUGUGUGUGUGUGUGUGUGUGUGUGUGUGUGUGUGUGUGUGUGUGUGUGUGUGUGUGUGUGUGUGUGUGUGUGUGUGUGUGUGUGUGAAACUAAAUAUGAAAUAAUUGACCGACUGACGUGACAAUAAAG
ensembl:lncRNA